GCGCAGUGGCAGUAUCGUAGCCAAUGAGGUUUAUCCGAGGCGCGAUUAUUGCUAAUUGAAAACUUUUCCCAAUACCCCGCCAUGACGACUUGAAAUAUAGUCGGCAUUGGCAAUUUUUGACAGUCUCUACGGAGACUGAAUAAUUUUGUUUCUAAAGAAAGAUUGUUUUUGUUCUUUUGAAUCAUGAGUGUAGUAACCGAGUCCGCUCUGAAUACUUGAAUAGUCUUGUUCUUUAUACUUAUCGACUCUCAACUAUGUUGAGGGUCAGGUUUGUGAUUAUUUUUACUUCGAUGUAGGUAGGGUAUGGUUAAAUUGCUGAUUUUUCUAGGCGGAGCUGUAAUUUGGAGUCUUUGUACACUGCGUAAAUGUAGUACUACGUUUGAGAACUUUACAUCAUAGGAACUGGGGAUUGAACUCAUGGCUGUUGCACCGAGCCACAUCUCCAGCCACCACCACCCCAACCUCUUUUAAAUUUUGAGACAGGAUCUUGUUAAAUUGCUAAACGGAAUUUGCAGUCCUCCUGCCUCAGCCUCCCAGAGUGCUGGGACUACAGGGAUGUGCCCCCAUGCCCAGCCCCGAAGGCCUCUUUUGCUGAAAAACAUUGACCCUUCACUUCAGCCUUCAGAGGUCUGAUGAGUGUUGCCCCUAACUUUAUCUCAGCAUUUGUUUUCUGGAGAGCCUAGCCUGACACAGAGGGAGUUGGUGGCUGGAUUCUUGAGGGACAGGGAGAGAUUGAAGCUGUGUCUGCAGAGCAUUUCAACUUAAAAUUGGCCAACUACCAUCACCUAUCCUAAAGUGUGAGGAAGGACAAUUAAUAACUACCUCAGUGGGAAUUAAUUUGAUAAUAGCUCAUCUGGGGACCCUUCCACCCUGUGCAGAAUCUUGGCAAAGACUCUAGGGACAGUGGAUUUGUGAAGACUAAAAGAUAUGUAACCUCACAAGUAUUGGAUUUGGGCUCAAAGGCUGGUCUGUGACCUGCACGGUCCACAGGGCAACCCCAGGAAAUGUCCUCCAAAGGAUCCGGCCCUUGCCUGGUACUGGUUUAGGGUCCUCCCGGGAGGGGACCUACUGGGAGAAUCAGACUUUCCAGUGGACACGGAGGCAUAUGAUGACCGAGUGACUGAUGAAUGAACCGACACAUCUGUCCGUUUGAAGGUCAGGAAGUGACUUUGAACGACAGAGACUAGCGGGAGGGCCUGAGGGCCUGGAGGCCUCCCGCAGGCCCACUCGUCCGCCAGGGGGCGCCACAGCCACGCCCCGCGUCGCCCCCAGUCCGGACUUUGGCGCGGCCCCCUGGGUAGGCGGGGGGCGUGGCCAGCGUCCACUAGAGGCGUGUCAGCUUGUCACGGGGCGAGGGGAG